rnacentral:rRNA from 1 species
UACAGAGGUCCCAAGCGUUGUUCGGAUUCACUGGGCGUAAAGGGUGCGCAGGUGGCCGCGCAAGUUCGAUGUGAAAGCCCCGGGCUUAACCCGGGAAUGGCAUUGAAAACUGCGUGGCUGGAGGAUCGGAGGGGGGACUGGAAUUCUUGGUGUAGCAGUGAAAUGCGUAGAUAUCAAGAGGAACACCAGUGGCGAAGGCGAGUCCCUGGACGAUACCUGACACUGAGGCACGAAAGCCAAGGGAGCAAACAGGAUUAGAUACCCGGUAGUCC